rnacentral:rRNA from 1 species
UACGUAGGGGGCUAGCGUUGUCCGGAAUCAUUGGGCGUAAAGCGUGCGCAGGCGGUUUUGUAAGCCAGAUGUGAAAUCCCCGGGCUUAACCUGGGAAUGGCAUUUGGGACUGCAAGGCUGGAGUACGGCAGAGGGAGGUGGAAUUCCAGGUGUAGCAGUGAAAUGCGUAGAUAUCUGGAGGAACACCGAUGGCGAAGGCAGCCUCCUGGGCUAGUACUGACGCUCAUGCACGAAAGCGUGGGGAGCAAACAGG